rnacentral:rRNA from 1 species
UACGUAGGGUGCAAGCGUUAUCCGGAAUUACUGGGCGUAAAGCGUGCGCAGGCGGUUUUGUAAGUCUGACGUGAAAUCCCCGGGCUCAACCUGGGAAUUGCGUUGGAGACUGCAAGGCUAGAAUCUGGCAGAGGGGGGUAGAAUUCCACGUGUAGCAGUGAAAUGCGUAGAGAUGUGGAGGAACACCGAUGGCGAAGGCAGCCCCCUGGGUCAAGAUUGACGCUCAUGCACGAAAGCGUGGGGAGCAAACAGG